GUUGGUCAACCUACAUGGUCUGUUGGAAAGGCAUCACCCCAAGCCUCCACCACCAAUAAGCAGGAGCAGAGAAUGAAGAGGAUGGAAAAGCUCAAAAGGGAUCUCCAGAAGAUCAAAAAUGAGAGAGAUGGACUCCAGGGAAUCCUAGCCAAUUACACUAACAAGGAUUUGAACAACAGGACAUUCAUGCUCAAGAUGCAAGAUGACCAGGUGAUGACUGACCUGAAGAGAAUUCCCCAGGACAUCAGUGAGGCCUUGUACAAGUACACGGAGUUGACUAAAGAAAAUCAAUUCUACUGGUGAGUGACUAACAGGUGAAUCUAACCAUCUCCAGCACAAAGUCAGGAUGUUGUGGAAGGAGAACAGACAGUUGCUAGAGGAGCAGAUUGCAUUAGAAAAUGCUCCAAUGAAUCAAAGAGGCUGUGUAAAGAAGGCAGCCUGAAAACCAAUGACCUAUGUACCAAGCAGC
rnacentral:lncRNA from 1 species